CUGACCCGGAAAGCUCUCGCGUUUCCGAGUUUGCCCUUGCGGUCGGCUGUCUCUGUGCGUCCUUGUAGAAAGUUUUCCCUUUUUCAAGAGGGAUUGAACUUGGGACGUUGCAGUUGUGAGGCAGGUGACGGAAACACUGAGCCAUGGCAACAAAAGGCCUUGUGCUCUCUGUAGCGGAGCAUCCUGCCUUUGUCCGAUCCAGCUUGGUGUGUCAGUCUCUGCAAACAACAAAAGAUGUGGCCACCCGGCUGGCUGUCCCUGCCCCCAUCAGAGAACUAAGGGACGCAGAGGCCUCUUUGAUUGGAGCCAAGGAGAGCAGCAGACAGCAACAGUGCAAGAGGACAGAGGUGAGGCAAGAGAUGUAAUUUAUCCUGAUUUCGAGGCACAGGAGC
rnacentral:lncRNA from 1 species